CGGUGGGAUGGGAUGGGAUGGGAUGGGAUGGGAUGGGAUGGGAUGGGAUAGGAUGGGAUGGGUGGGAUGGAUGGAAUGGGUGGGGGUACCUUUGGGAUGGGUGGGGUCACCAUUGGGAUCGGUGGGAUGGAUGGGGUGGGUGGGGACACCUUUGGGAUGGGUGGGAUGAGUGGGGUUCGCAUUGGGAAUGGUGGGAGGGGUGGGAUGGAUGGGAUGGGAGGGAUCAUUGGUGGGAUGGGUGGAAUCAGUGGGAUGGAUGGGAUGGGUGGGAUGAUGGGAUGGAUGGGAUUACGGCUGGGAUGGAUGGGGUCAUCGGUGGGCUUAUGGGAUGGUGGAAUGGGUGGGAUCACCAGUGGGGUCAUGGGACCAAUGGGUGACAUGGGUGGAUCGUCCAUGGCAUGAGUGGGAUCGCUGGGAUUGAUGGGAUAAUUGGUGGGAUGGGUGGGAUGAUGGGAUGGGGGGAUCGUAGGUGGGAUUGGUGGGAUCAAUAGGAUGGAUGGGAUCAUUGGUGGGGUCAUGGGAUCGAUGGGUGACAUGGGUGGGACCAUGGAUGGGAUCGUCAGCGGCAUCCAUGGGAUCAGUGGGAUCAGUGGGAUGGAUGGGAUCAUCAGCAGCAUCCAUGGGACCAGAGGUAUUGCUGGGAUGGAUGGGAUCAUCAGAGGCAUCCAUGGGAUCAGUGGGAUCAGUGGGAUGGAUGGGAUCAUCAGUGGGGUCAUGGGAUCAGUGGGAUUUCUGGGAUGGAUGGGAUCAUCACUGGGAUCCAUGGGAUCAGUCGCAUCGUUGGGAAGGGUGGGAUCAUCAGUGGGGUCAUGGGAUCAAUGGUUGACAUGGGUGAGGUCACUGGUGGCAUCAGUGGGAUCAGUGGGAUUUCUGGGAUGGAUGGGAUCAUUGUUGGGAUGGGUGGGAUCAUCAGUGGGGUCAUGAGAUCAGUGGGAUUGCAGGGAUGGAUGGGAUGAUCAGUGAGGUCAUGGGAUCAGUGGGAUCGCUGGUGUGGAUGGGAUCAUCACUGGGAUCCAUGGGAUCAGUGGGAUCGUUGGGAUGGGUGGGAUCAUCAGUGGGGUCAUGGGGUCGAUGGGUGACAUGGGUGGGAUCAUGGAUGGGAUCAGUGGGAUGGAUGGGAUCAUUGGUGGGGUCAUUUGAUCGAUAGGUGACAUGGGUGGGGUCACCAAUGGGAUCAUCGGUGACAUCAGAGGGAUCAAUAGGAUCACUGGAAUGGAUGGGAACAUCAGUGGGAUGGAUGGGAUCAUCAGUGGGGUCAUGGGAUGGAUGGUCGACAUGGGUGAGGUCACUAGUGGCAUCAGUGGGAUCAGUGGGAUCGCUAGGAUGGAUGGGAUCAUCAGCGGCAUCCAUAGGAUCAGUGGGAUCAGUGGGAUGGAUGGGAUCAUCGGUGGGGUCAUGGGGUUGAUGGGUGACAUGGGUGGGAUCAGGGAUGGAAUCAUCAGCAGCAUCCAUAGGGUCAGUGGGAUCAGUGGGAUGGAUGGGAUCAUCAGUGGGGUCAUGGGAUCAUCAGUGGCGUUCAUGGGAUCAGUGGGAUCAGUGGGAUGGAUGGGAUCAUCAGUGAGGUCAUGGGAUCAGUGGGAUCGCUGGUGUGGAUGGGAUAAUCACUGGGAUCCAUGGGGUCAGUGGGAUCUUUGGGAUGGAUGGGAUCAUUGUUGGGGUCAUGAGAUCAGUGGGAUUACUGGAAUGGGUGGGAUCAUUGGUGGGAUCGGCGUAGUGGAUGGGAUCAGUGGGAUCAUCAGCGGGAUGUAUGGGAACACUGAGACUGGGAUAGCUGGGAUGGAUGGGAUCAGCAGCGGCGUCAUGGGAUCGAUGGUGACAUCACCAGUGGGAUCAUGGGUGGCAUCAGGGGGAUCGUUGGGAUGGGUGGGAUCACUGAGGGAUGGAUGGGAUGGGUCGGAUCGCUGCUGGCAUCAGUGGGAUCGGGGGGACCAAUGGCAUUGCUGGGAUCGCAUGGAUGGAUGGGAUCGUCGGUGGGUUAUGGGAUCAAUGGGUGACAUGGGUGGGACCAUGGAUGGGAUCAAUGGGAUGGUUGGGAUCAAUGGUGGGAUCAAUGGGAUGGAUGGGAUCGUCGGUGGGGUUAUGGGAUCAAUGGGUGACAUGGGUGGGGUCACUGGUGGGAUCAUGGGUGGCAUCAGUGAGAUCAGUGGGGUCGCUGGGAUGGAUGGGAUCAUCACUGGGAUUGUUGGGGUUGGUGGGACGGAUGGGAUCAUCACUGGGAUUGGUGGGAUGGAUGGGAUGGAUGGGAUCAUCACUGGGAUGGAUGGGAUCAUCACUGGGAUUGGUGGGACGGAUGGGAUCAUACUGGGAUGGAUGGGAUCAUACUGGGAUGGAUGGGAUCAUCACUGGGAUUGAUGGGACGGGUGGAAUCAUACUGGGAUGGAUGGGAUCAUCAGUGGGAUUGGUGGGAUGGAUGGGAUGGAUGGGAUCAUCACUGGGAUGGAUGGGAUCAUCACAGGGAUUGGGGGGAUGGAUGGGAUCAUACGGGGAUGGAUGGGAUCAUCACUGGGAUUGGUG
ensembl:lncRNA